GCCUCUUGAGUAGCUGGGAUUACAGAGAAGUAAAGAACCAAACAAGGUUCAGGAGAAGAGAAAGCAGCCCCGGGACAAAGUUACAAAAUACAGGAACCCACAUACCUGCUGUGAAGAUCGCUGCGGUUCGGAUGCCCUUGUCUUCGUUCCGCAGGUCCUGGAGGAAGGAACCAACUGUUGACGACACUGGUCUGACUACGAACUGACAGCGCUCUUUUCUGGACGGCAAAGUAAGCGUGAUCGAGGGAAGGCCAUGUCGAUAGUUAACUGUUAUUUCUGUCAGGACAAAUAAUACAGGAAAUGUGUGAAUUUUACCAUAAGGAACAAUUCUUGAAAUACAUGAAUUCUAAAUGGAAUGCUUAAACAUGAAAUUCACAAGCCUCUGAAGCCCUGUAAAAGUCUGCCAUGCUUGCACGGUGCCAUCGUUAUACGACGGUCUACACAGCCCCUGCCACCCUGUACCAUUUCAUCGUGGCAUGUACCACACUGUAUCGCAAUCAUCUGCAUAAAGUCUUCCCAGGCAGAGAGUUAAUUAAGUUCUUGAGGGCAGAAAUCAUCGCUUACUCAGCUCCUCUGAUUGCUGGGGUGGAAAUCUGACAAAAGACAAGCAGAGAUUCUGGGAGCAGAGAAGGGAGGAACUAAACCCAAGCAGGGGAUGGGGUGGGGCGGAGACAGUGCAAGAGAAGUCUGUCUUGUUCAAAAUUCACAGCUCUCGCUUAAUCUGGAAGACGACAAACACGGCCAGCACCCGAAUCGAGGAAGCCAUGAGAGCACUCACCAUCGCGGGGCACCGCUGUGCUGUAAAGCUGUGACUGGCAGUAGUUCACACUCCCACACCGCUGCACACACCAAACCUGCAGGGAACAAAGAUUAUACUGCUUUUAGAAAGAGUGGCGAGGUUGAAAUAGGUGUCUUUACCAGAAGAUUCUUCUUAGUCUUACAUGACAGGCACGACGGAAAAUUCCACUUCCCACGCGUCCCCGGGUAAAUAAUCUCCAACAAAGGACUGCGAGCAUCAAAGUAUCGUCCCCGGGCCAGAAGCAUCGGCGACCCCACGGAGCUGAUCAGAAAUGCACAAUCGCAGCCUCAGCCCAGACUUACUGUAUUCAUUACAAUCUGCAUUUUAACAAGGUCCCCAGCAAAAAGAAAUCAUGAAAGCCCGGAGCUCAGUGUGAGGUUCUACAGAAAAUCAUGAUGCACCACAGGAUAUAAAACUAAUGAACUCAAGGACAAGCUUCAAAGCAAAACAAUGAUCUAAGCAAGGAGUUUACAGAGCAACUGAACUCCAAAAGCACAUAUUGCUGGCUUCACAUAUUCCACGGAAGUACUCUACAGUGUUCAAUUCCAUUCUUACUGAGGGGAGCUUGCUUGUGUGCAAGAAAGAAACGAAUCGGGAGGUGAGACAGGCCUUACUCCCGCCCUGCUACUGGCGUUGGUGAUCCUGUAAACCUCUGCUUUGGGAGACCAGAAUUUAAAUCUACAUUGGUGUUGGAAGUCAGCAAGGCAUCCGUCUGGCAUUUGCAGUGCCAGCGAGCAAGAAGUGAAGCAACAGAAUGGUUGGCAGGGACUCGGCAACUGCCUCGAACACGCACUUAGGGAUUCACAUUAAUCCCAAGAGGCCUCAGAAACUAUCCGAUGAGACAGGGAACCAGCAUGGAGUGUCUGAAGGCAGAACUGAGUCCAGCAGGCAGGGCUGGUCAUCCAAACUGUCGCUCACUAGCUACGUAAGAAGGACACAUCUACCACAGUUGCAACCGAAAUCACAGAUGGGGACAGUGGAUGCAGAGGAAGACCGAUGGCACGUGCUACACGUAAAAUGCCAGGAAGUUACCAUGUGAAAACAAGACUUCCCAGACUUUCCCAAGAAAUACGGGGAAGUUACUCUUAUCCCGAUUUUCACCAAAUCGUUUUGAGAACAUUUUACUUAGCUAUAAAAAUAGAUCAAAAGUAGGGAAAAUAGCCAGGUGUGGUGGCGCAUGCCUGUAGUCCCAGCUACUGGGGAGGCUGAGGCAGGAGGAUCGCCUGAGCCCGAGAGCUCUGGGCUGUAGAGUGAGAUGCACUAAGCUUGGCAUCAAUAUGGUGACCCCCCCCCAGGAGUGACAGACCACCGGGGAGCCUACGGAGGGGUGAAUCAGCCCAUGUUAAAAACUCUGUGCUGAUCAGAAGUGGGACUGUGCCUGUGAACGGCCACUGCACCACAGCCUGGACAACACAGUGAGACCCAUCUCUAAAAAUAAAAAAGUAGAGAAAAUAAAAUCUUUGCAUAUUUCUUAUUGUGGGCUUAAUAGAUAAAUAGUCAGAUUUCAUCUCUAUAGAGAUUAACUGCAACAUUAUUUACAACAGCAAAAAACUGAAAACAAUCCAACUGUCCAAUGACGGUAGAAGGGUUAAAUAAGUUAUAAAUCUAUAAAAUAUGAUUAUGCAUCCAUUAUAAUUGUUCUCAAGAAAAUAUUAAUGAUAGGAGGAAAGAUUCAUGACAAUGAUAUUUUGACAGAAUUUAGACCCCAAACUAUAAUAUAUAUAGUGU